rnacentral:rRNA from 1 species
ACGUAUGGGUGACAGCGGAGGGAUCAUUACCGAGUUAUUCAACUCAUCAACCCUGUGAACUUACCUAUACGUUGCUUCGGCGGGAAUAGACGGCCCCGUAAAACGGGCCGCCCCCCGCCAGAGAACCCUUAACUCUGUUUCUUUUAGUGUAUCUUCUGAGUAAAACAAGCAAAUAAAUUAAAACUUUCAACAACGGAUCUCUUGGCUCUGGCAUCGAUGAAGAACGCAGCGAAAUGCGAUAAGUAAUGUGAAUUGCAGAAUUCAGUGAAUCAUCGAAUCUUUGAACGCACAUUGCGCCCGCCAGUAUUCUGGCGGGCAUGCCUGUUCGAGCGUCAUUACAACCCUCAGGCCCCCGGGCCUGGCGUUGGGGAUCGGCGGAGCCCCCCGUGGGCACACGCCGUCCCCCAAAUACAGUGGCGGUCCCGCCGCAGCUUCCAUCGCGUAGUAGCUAACACCUCGCGACUGGAGAGCGGCGCGGCCACGCCGUAAAACACCCAACUCUUCUGAAGUUGACCUCGAAUCAGGUAGGAAUACCCGCUGAACUUAAGCAUAUCAAUAAGCGGAGGAAAAGAAACCAACAGGGAUUGCCCCAGUAACGGCGAGUGAAGCGGCAACAGCUCAAAUUUGAAAUCUGGCUCUCGGGCCCGAGUUGUAAUUUGUAGAGGAUGCUUUUGGUGAGGUGCCUUCCGAGUUCCCUGGAACGGGACGCCAUAGAGGGUGAGAGCCCCGUCUGGUUGGACGCCGAACCUCUGUAAAGCUCCUUCGACGAGUCGAGUAGUUUGGGAAUGCUGCUCUAAAUGGGAGGUAUAUGUCUUCUAAAGCUAAAUACCGGCCAGAGACCGAUAGCGCACAAGUAGAGUGAUCGAAAGAUGAAAAGAACUUUGAAAAGAGAGUUAAACAGUACGUGAAAUUGUUGAAAGGGAAGCGCUUGUGACCAGACUUGGGCUUGGUUGAUCAUCCGGGGUUCUCCCCGGUGCACUCUUCCGGCUCAGGCCAGCAUCAGUUCGCCCUGGGGGAUAAAGGCAUCGGGAACGUGGCUCUCUCCGGGGAGUGUUAUAGCCCGUUGCGUAAUACCCUGUGGCGGACUGAGGUUCGCGCAUCGCAAGGAUGCUGCGUAGCCCCGGGCUA